rnacentral:sRNA from 1 species
GCUGCAUCCUGAGCUGCCGGGGUUGGAAACUUCGUGGUGGAUGAUGCCUGUAACUACCCAGAUGGUAUCAAGACGCAACAGCCCUCAUCGAGGGAUGCUCAGAGUCAAGGAAACUUUUCUCUUGAGCUAUUGGCAGCUUAACUCCUGUGAACAAAAUUUGGAGCAUAUUUGUUUCUCUCUGCCUGAUUUCUCCAAAAUUUGGAAACUAUUUGUGAGUAUUCUUAACUUAUAGCAAUAUAGUUAUUUGCAUAAGUACAAUAAGGAUCUGUUUUCUUUUGCAAACGGACACAAUUGGAGAAACUGGUGAUUUUACCAAAGCUUUGACUGGAAUGGUAUGUUUUCCUUUAAGGAAUCAAAUUUGACUUAUAAAGCCAAUAAAAGCCCCUUGGGAAACCUGGCCUCAUGCCUUGUCUACACAGUCCCUGUACAGGGUUCCCGACCUGUGGUAAGUAAAGAAUGUCACUUUCUGAUUGGCCCAGGAGCCCCAGGUUACCUUGGGACCUCAAGAGGAGAGGAAUUUACCCAACUCAGGUAUUUGAGGGUGCAAACUCACAGCUGGGCUCAGCUUUUAAAAAGUCUUAUCUGAGAUUCAUUUUAUGAAACACAGUUCCAUCAAAGUCAAUUUUAAAAGCCUCUGUGAAAAAUAAUUAUUAUUGCUGCACUUUAUACAAAUAAUUAGGCCAAGUAUAAUAAAGCAAAUUGGUUUUGCCGUGAUUUGUCUUUAGUAAAAACUAGGAGACUAGAGACAGAAAAAUUAUGUUUCAAGAACUAUGGUACACCUGUUGUUAGAUUCUAAUCUCAUCAGUUGUUUUUAAGGGUUUUUUUCUGCAAUUUAGACUGAGUGCUUAUUCCUGUGAGCCAACCAGUGAUCUCUUGCAGUUCAGAAUAAACAAGAAAGACAGAUACCACCUUUUGUCAGAACUCGGAGUUACAAGUGACCCUCACCAUAACUAUGCUUUCUGAGCUCCUCUCUACCCUGAAUACAAGAGACCCUAAUAGUUAGGCAGGAAUAUCGUUGCCCCUAUUCAGCCUGAAGAAGUUAUAGAAUAUGGAUCUUCAUCCUUCCACAACCCUUAGAAUUAAGAGUUGCCUUGUAAAAGGGAGGGGGGAAAUGUCAGAGACAUUUGAAUCAGAACAACUCCACCUUGAAUAGGGGCUGGGUAAAACAAGGCUGAGAACUGCUGGGUUGCAUUCCCAGAUGGUUAAGGCAUUCUAACUCACCGGAUGAGGUUGGAGGUCAGAACAAGAUACAGCUUAUAAAGACCUUACAGAUAAAACAGGUUGCAGUAAAAAAGCCAGCCAAAACCAAGAUGGCAACAAAAGUGACUUCUAGUUGUCCUCACUGCUCAUUAUAUGCUAAUUAUAGUGCAUUAGCAUGCUAAAAGACACUCCAACCCGCACCAUAACAGUUUACAAAUUCCAUAGCAACACCAGAAAAUUACCCUAUAUGGUCUAAAAAGGGGAGGAACCCCCAGUUCUGGGAAUUGCCCAUUCUUCCUGGAAAAUUCAUGAAUAAUCCACCCCUUGUGAUAUGAUUUGGCUGUGUGUAGCCUAGGGACUUGAUAUCCUGCAUCCCAGCUGCUCUAGCCAUGGAUAAAAGGGGCCAAAGUACAGCUGGGGCCAUGGCUUGAAAGGGUGCAAGCUCCAAGCCUAGGCAGCAUCCACAUGGUGUUGAGCCUGCAAGUGCACAGAGGUCAAUAAUUGAGGUUUGGGAACCUCCGCCUAGAUUUCAGAAGAUGUAGAGAAACGCCUGGAUGUCCAGUCAGAAGUUUGCUUCAGGAACAGUGCCCUCAUGGACAACCUUUGCUAGGGCAGUGAAGAAGGGAAAUGUGGGCUUAAAACCCCACACAGAGUCCCCACUGAGGCACUGCCUAGUGGGGCUGUGAGAAGAGGGCCACCGUCCUCCAGACCCCAGAAUGGUAGAUCCACCAACAGCUUGCACUGUGCACCUGGAAGAACCAUAGACACUCAACACCAGGAGUGAAAGCAGCCACAAAGACACAGAGGCAAAGCUGCCCAAGACCAUGGGAACCCACCUCUUGCAGCAUGACUUGGAUGUGAGAAAUGGUGUCCAAGGAGAUAAUUUCAGAGCUUUAAGAUUUGGCUGCCCUGCUGGAUUUCUAACUUGCAUGGGGCCUGUAGCCCCUUCAUCUUGGCCAAUCUCUCACAUUUGGAAUGGGUGUAUUUACCCAAUACCUGUACCCCCAUUGUAUCUGGGAAGUAACUAACUUGCUUUUGAUUUUACAGGCUCCUAGGUGGAAGGAACUCACCUUGUCUUAAAUGAGACUUUGGACUAUGGACUUUUAAGUUAAUGCUGAAAUGGGUUAAGAAUUUGGGGGACUGUUGGGAAGGUAUGAUUCAUUUUAAAAUGUGAGAACAUGAAAUUUGGGAGGGGCUGGGGGCAGAAUGAUAUGGUUUGGCUGUGUCCCCACACAAAUCUCAUCUUGAAUUGUAGCUCCUAUAAUUCCCACCUGUCAUGGGAGGGAUGCAGUGGGAGGUAAUUAAAUCAUGGGGAUGGGUCAUUCCCAUGCUAUUCUCAUGGCAGUGAAUAAAUCUCAUGAGAUCUGAUGGUUUUAUAAAUGAGAGUUCCCUUGCACAAGUUCUCUCUUUGCCUGCCACCUGUAAGAUGUGGCUUUGCUCCUCCUUGCCUUCUGCCACGAUUGUGAGGCCUCCUCAACCAGGUGAAACUGAGAGUCAAUUAAACCUCUUUCCUUUAUCCGUU